rnacentral:tRNA from 1 species
GGUGCGGUAGUUCAGUUGGUUAGAAUAUCGGUCUGUCACGCCGAAGGACGUGGGUUCGAGUCCCAUUCGCACCG